CACGGGGGGAGCAAGCGUUGUUCGGAAUCACUGGGCGUAAAGCGCGUGUAGGCGGCCAGGUAGGUCCGUUGUGAAAACCCGAGGCUUAACCUCGGGACGCCGACGGAAACCAUCUGGCUAGGGUCCGGAAGAGGAGAGUGGAAUUCCCGGUGUAGCGGUGAAAUGCGCAGAUAUCGGGAAGAACACCCGUGGCGAAGGCGGCUCUCUGGGACGGUACCGACGCUGAGACGCGAAAGCGUGGGGAGCGAACAGG
rnacentral:rRNA from 1 species